rfam:Ciona savignyi cont_5282, whole genome shotgun sequence.
CAAACGGCUCUUUUCAGAGCCACCCAUUAUUUUCAGAGAGAUUUCU